ACAGAUUUGCAGAUGGUCCGUAUAACCUUUUUGAAUAAGGCAAAAGAUACACGCAGGUGGUUUUCAGAAAGUCCAGGCCAGUGGAAGUUGGACAGCCUUCCUAUAAUCCUUGUCUUCAGAAGCAAAGACAUCCACAAUUUUGCCCAGCUUGUGCCUGGUAUACCAGAUAUCCUCCAGGGCAGGCUUAACCCAAAGUCUUUGGAUUAAAGGACUUUGUUCUGAUGAAAGGGAAUCAGGACUGUAUAUGAGACACAUAAACACACACACACCUGAUCUGUGUUAGAGCAAGUAUAAAUCCCAUGUAUAUCUUUAUACAUGGAGUUGUUUUAUACCUUUUUUUAUACAUUUAUACCUGGAGCUAUUUCUGGAACAUGAGCCUGACUUCUGCAUUUCUGCUGUUAGCUUCUCCCC
rnacentral:lncRNA from 1 species